CCUACGGGUGGCAGCAGUGGGGGAUAUUGCACAAUGGGGGAAACCCUGAUGCAGCGACGCCGCGUGAGUGAAGAAGUAAUUCGGUACGUAAAGCUCUGUCAGCAGGGAAGAAAAUGACGGUACCUGAGUAAGAAGCCCCGGCUAACUACGUGCCAGCAGCCGCGGUAAUACGUAGGGGGCAAGCGUUAUCCGGAUUUACUGGGUGUAAAGGGGGCGUAGACGGCAGUGCAAGUCUGGAGUGAAAGGCGGGGGCUCAACCCCCGGACUGCUCUUGAAACUGUACGGCUGGAGUGCAGGAGGGGCAGGUGGAAUUCCUGGUGUAGCGGUGAAAUGCGUAGAUAUCAGGAGGAACACCAGUGGCGAAGGCGGCUUACUGGACUGUAACUGACGUUGAGGCUCGAAAGCGUGGGGAGCAAACAGGAUUAGAUACCCUUGUAGUC
rnacentral:rRNA from 1 species